UGAGGCAAGACACAGUGCGCAUGCCCGGGGCUGCCCGCCUUUCCAUCGGCCCUCGGCGUGCAGCGUGUGCAACGCGUUCUGGGUGCGGAGCUGUGCACAUCGCGUCUCACCGUCUGGGUUGUUUCUACUCGGCUGCGAUCUCCUGUGGGAAAUAUGAGUUGGAGCAUAAAAUCAACGUACAAACCUAAGGAAAGAGGUUAUGAUGAAGGAUGUGACAAUCCAGUUGAGCCUGUGGUUGCCCACGGUGAUAAGCAACCUGAAGAAUGGGAGCCACCAAGUACAAGUCAGGACAUUAGACCUGGUGAAGAGGAAAAGGAUGAAGGAGCAUCUUCAUUUCAAGGUGAAGGGAAAUGGAAGAGAAAUGCCUCUUUUGGGUGUGUGUGUGUGUGUAUGUGUAUGUGUUUGUUUGUGUGUAUGUGUGUGUUGUGUAUGUGUAUGUCUCAUACGUGGUGAUAUGCCAAUAAGAGAAAGAAAGAAAACAGU